UAAGUUGGUCGAGGCCCAAAGGUAC
rnacentral:piRNA from 1 species